UGGGGAAUUUUGGACAAUGGGGGAAACCCUGAUCCAGCCAUCCCGCGUGUGCGAUGAAGGCCUUCGGGUUGUAAAGCACUUUUGGCAGGAAAGAAACGUCAUGGGUUAAUACCCCGUGAAACUGACGGUACCUGCAGAAUAAGCACCGGCUAACUACGUGCCAGCAGCCGCGGUAAUACGUAGGGUGCAAGCGUUAAUCGGAAUUACUGGGCGUAAAGCGUGCGCAGGCGGUUCGGAAAGAAAGAUGUGAAAUCCCAGAGCUCAACUUUGGGACUGCAUUUUUAACUACCGGGCUAGGGUGUGUCAGAGGGAGGUGGAAUUCCGCGUGUAGCAGUGAAAUGCGUAGAUAUGCGGAGGAACACCGAUGGCGAAGGCAGCCUCCUGGGAUAACACUGACGCUCAUGAACGAAAGCGUGGGGAGCAAACAGA
rnacentral:rRNA from 1 species